UCCCGGCUCCCUCCUCGAGAUGGCGGCGGCCGCCGCUUGCCGCGGGUCCCGCCCCAGGGCGGUGCCGGGGCGGCGGGGCCGGGGCGGUCCUGACAGCGCCGUGCUAGGAGAGCUUUGCGACGCGGGCUGGGCACGGUGUAAAAAGCAGCUGGAGGACAGUCAGUGCAAUGGCAGCACACGGCCUGCCUCCUCCCGCCGCGCACCCGCGGUCAGCGCCGCUGGGGCUCAGCUGGAGCCCGGUCAGGGCGCAGGCCUUUCCCCCUCCCUCUGCCGUCGGGUGUCAGAUCGGCUGAGCACGGCGAGCGCCUGUGGGCGUCCGGGCAGCUGCUUCUUCCUGCCGUGAGCUCAGGCAGGAGACCUAACGGUGAGGAGAUGUGUGUGAAUUGACGUAUAAGGGGAUGCAUAGAGUGGUUUGAACACGGAGGUGUUCAAGGAAAGACUGGAUGAGGCACUUAGUGCCAUGGUCUAGUCGAUUGGAUAGGUUGGACUGGAUGAUCUUGGAGGUCUCUUCCAAGCUGGUUGCUUCUGUGUGGAAUUCUGGAUUAUUUUCUCUAGAAUUGGCUGAGGGAGCUGGGGUUGUUUGGUGUAGAGACUCAGGAGAGACCUUGUCCUUUGAAAGGAGGUUUGAGUGAGAUGAGGAUUGGUCUCUUCCAGGUAACAAGCAAUAGGACAUGAGGAAAUGGCCUCAGGUUGUGCCAAAGGUGGUUUAAGUUGGAUACUAGGAAAAAUUUCUUCACUGAAAGGGUUGCCAAGCCCUGGACCAGGAGGCACAGAGAAGUGGUGGAGUCACCACCCCUGAAGGAAUUGUAAAGAUCUGCAGAUACGGUGCUUAGAGACAUGGCUUAGUGGUAAACUUGGCUAUGCUGGGUUAACAGUUGGACGUGGUGAUGCUAACCCAAACAAGUCUGUGAUUCUCUUUAGGAGCUAAUGGGAGAGCUUUCAGUGCAGGCAAAUGUCUGCUGGGAACUCGGGCAGCUGAUGUGAAUGGUGUAGACUUUGCAGCUGUGAGCAAUGGUGCAGGGCCUGCCUCCCAGCACAACUGCUGGGGGAGGUCUGUUCCUCCCCUACAGCAGACAGAAUGCAGAUUUGUAACGUUUCACAUUUAGAUGGUCCAGCAAGCAAAUAUUUUCUGCUUCCAAGUGACUUCAGAAGUGUUCAGAAGGGGAGAGAUGGCAAACAUCAAAGACCUUUGGGAAAAAAGGCAGGUAGAACUUGAUUUUAUAGCACUUGUGAUAUGCUUCCUGGGCCAGAUCCUGCCCUCCUUGCCAAUGCCUAGCCGCCUGGCUUGGCUCUCCAGGGAAGCAGAGAGCACUGAGCCAUGUGGGACUGGGUCAUGAGUGACAGAGCAGGAGCCCACCCGUGGGUGCCUGCAUGGGGGAGGUUGAUUUGCCUUCAGAUUUGCACCCAGGAGCUGCAUUAAGAGAAGGAGAAGGGGAUGUAGCAGGGAGGUUCCUUGUAUUGGUCCCACCAGUGAGGCUGCACAGACCAAAGGCCUGAAGACCUAUCUGCAGGGAGGGUCCAGCAGCUCUGCUUGACUGACGCUACCUGCUGCUGGCCAUGGAGAACUUCUGACCCCCUUCUUGUGCACAUCAGCUCUGCAACUCUGGAGUGCUGCCUCUUGUUUGGGGAAGUAUCCACAUGCCCAGCAAGACUGACAUCUUUGAGGAUACCUUUUUCCUUUCUCUGGUCGAGCGUCCCAGGUCCUUCCAAGAUGCAAAUCUCUCAGCCGCCACCAGGGAGAAGAGAUUUGCUCUGUAAGGCUCCCUGCUCCCUCCUCUGCUGGGCUCGCCUCCCAGGAAAGCUCUCUGUGCUCACGGGUGCCUCUGUAGCGCCUGGCUCGACCUUGUGGGCCACUGCGUCAGGGAUCCUCCUGCUUGAAUACUGAGAUGCUUUUAACAUACACGUUGGCGAGACUACUGUAAUUCCAGCCGGGGGCUCCGGUGGCACCAGCCAUGGCCUGAUUUGAUGGAAGGGGAGCAGGAAUGGGCUAACAGCAGCUGCUCCUCGGUAAUAGCCUCUCCAGCCCAUGGGAAACCCACAGACACGGUGACGCUGCAGACGGAUUUCAUAACUCAGGCAGUGACUAAACAGAAAGGGAGCUGGAGAGCCAAGGCAAAUGGAAACGCUGCUCUUGACCUCUCCUCCUGCCCGGACUUUGGCCCUGCUGUAAACUGGUCCUGGCUGAGAGGAGUCAGGGGAAGAGAGUGGCCUGACCUGUGAAAGCCCUGGCUCCAGACUUCCCGCAGGCAGGAAUUUUUGGCGCUCAAGUGUCACUGUUUCCAUGGUUGCAUCUCGUUCCCACGAGCCACCGGACCAGUGGCCUUACUGGUGGCCUUGAAACAGAGACUGGAGCUGGAAGAGGCCAAAGCUCUUCCCAGGAAGCUGAACCCCUGCUGUCUGCAGAGCUGAGGCUCUGGUUGGGCACCUCAAACAGCUCCAGGCCCCUCAAAGUGGGUUCUUUAAUAGUCCUGUCAAAAAGACGUUCAGGACCUCAAAUGCAGCCAUUCACAGGUGUGGGGAGGGGGGAGGCAAGCUUUUCCAUUCACUUUUCAGGUCAUUUGUCGUUUCAGAAAGGCAGUUUGUGCACACACAGACAUAUAAAAUGAUGUGUCAGAAACAGGGCUAAGAAGAUAAAAAAAGAAAUCUCCGACGCUGAAGUUAAAGCACUUAAGGAUUUGGCAGAGACUUCAAGAGGCAGUUUCUGGUCGUAAUGAAGUCGGUGGAAGUGCUUCCAUGGACUUCAAGGGGACUAUAAUUUGGCUGUAACUCAGUAGGGAGCUGGAAGUGUUGAUUAAUAAAUUGGAGACAAUGCAGAGGAAAGCCACUGAACUUCUUUCCAGCAGAUGUGCUGAAGAGGAGCCUGUAAGCUAAAGCAGGAAAGGAACUGGUUUCCUUUGUGUUUGCAAACAGAAGACAGGCCAAGAAACCCAAAAAGCUACCUGAUCCUCAUGUAAAAUGGCAGGGCUGGUGUUAAUAAACAGCACUUCCUUUCCCAGCAGCCUUCUGUUUCCAGUGAGUAGGUCAUUCUGCUAAAAAAAACCAGAAUGUAUUCGCAAAUGCCAGACCCAGCAUUCAACAAAUUCCUUCUUUCUCAGAAGUAAUUAUGCAGUGGAAAACUACUGCUGGAGAUUGCCGAUUCUGCACAUUGUCCCCUCAGAGUUUGGUUCGUGGGCCUUUGAUUACUCAUUGUUGGCUUUUAGCUCAAUGCUUGUGUGCAUGAAUCUCCUCUGCUAGAACUCUGACAGAGGUUAGCCCAAGCCUCGGAAAGUUGUUCCCGCUGGAGAGUGGUUUUCAGGCUGAGUUUGCAAAUCGUUUAAGGCUGAAAAAAAAAAAAUAUGUAUCCCUUUAAUACCUUUUACAGGAGUGCACAGUUGAAAAUAAACGAACAAAACUUG